rnacentral:rRNA from 1 species
CCUACGGGUGGCUGCAGUGAGGAAUAUUGGUCAAUGGACGCAAGUCUGAACCAGCCAAGCCGCGUGCAGGAAGACGGCUCUAUGAAUUGUAAACUGCUUUUGUACGAGGGUAAACGCGGAUACGCGUCUCUGUCUGAAAGUAUCUUACGAAUAAGGAUCGGCUAACUCCGUGCCAGCAGCCGCGGUAAUACGGAGGAUUCAAGCGUUAUCCGGAUUUAUUGGGUUUAAAGGGUGCGUAGGCGGUCGGUUAAGUUAGAGGUGAAAUCCCGAGGCUCAACUUCGGGAGUGCCUCUGAUACUGUUCGGCUAGAGAGUAGGUGCGGUAGGCGGAAUGUAUGGUGUAGCGGUGAAAUGCUUAGAGAUCACACAGAACACCGAUUGCGAAGGCAGCUUACC